AUCGAAAUCAGUAUUUGAUUGGUCAAGACUAGCCCACGUGAUAUUGAUUCAAACCCCAUAAUUGAUCAGAGUAUUAAAUUCGCCUCUUUACAUUGGGACUUCCUUGUGUGAUGUUGCGAGCCGUUAAUGUACAUAGCUUUCUGAAUAUUGACCAAUAGCAAGCGUUUUGAAUAUUUAAAACAUUAACUGUCGAGAGUGGAUAAAAAUAGUAUUUCACAAGAUUUGGUGGUGGGAUCUUUAUCUCUAAUGAUUUCUUUACAAUAUAUGCAGGAAAACUUAUUCCUUCUUUUCAAGUGAUCUACAAAAAAGGUUUUCUUUCUAUGAGAUGUUAUCAGACUUGGUUGUCUUUUUUCAUGCCACCACAAUAGGAAAUUCAAGGGAAAAGAAGAAAAUUCGACGCGAAAAUCGAAUUUUGACCAUUAAAUAACCAGCUGAGAUCAACAAACUACAAAAGUAAAAUCACAAAAAUACUAAACUCGGAGGAAAAUUCAAAACGGAAAGACCCUAAUCAAAUAAUAAAAC
rnacentral:lncRNA from 1 species